rnacentral:rRNA from 1 species
UACGAAGGGGGCUAGCGUUGCUCGGAAUUACUGGGCGUAAAGCGCGUGUAGGCGGCCCUGCAAGUCGGAUGUGAAAUCCCACGGCUCAACCGUGGAAGUGCAUUCGAAACUGCGAGGCUUGAGUAUGGAAGAGGGUCGCGGAAUUCCCGGUGUAGAGGUGAAAUUCGUAGAUAUCGGGAGGAACACCAGUGGCGAAGGCGGCGACCUGGGCCAAUACUGACGCUGAGGUGCGAAAGCGUGGGGAGCAAACAGG